CCUAGGUCGGAUUACUAUUGGUGGGGUAAUGGCUCACCAAGGCGACGAUCCGUAACUGGUCUGAGAGGAUGAUCAGUCACACUGGAACUGAGACACGGUCCAGACUCCUACGGGAGGCAGCAGUGGGGAAUAUUGGACAAUGGGCGAAAGCCUGAUCCAGCCAUGCCGCGUGUGUGAAGAAGGUCUUCGGAUUGUAAAGCACUUUAAGUUGGGAGGAAGGGCAGUAAAUUAAUACUUUGCUGUUUUGACGUUACCGACAGAAUAAGCACCGGCUAACUCUGUGCCAGCAGCCGCGGUAAUACAGAGGGGUGCAAGCGUUAAUCGGAAUUACUGGGCGUAAAGCGCGCGUAGG
rnacentral:rRNA from 1 species